UACGUAGGCAGCAAGCGUUGUUCGGAGUUACUGGGCGUAAAGAGUGCGUAGGCGGUUGACCAAGUCUGCUGUGAAAUCUCCCGGCUUAACUGGGAGGGUGCGGUGGAAACUGGUUGGCUUGAGUGUGGGAGAGGUAAGCGGAAUUCCUGGUGUAGCGGUGAAAUGCGUAGAUAUCAGGAGGAACACCGGUGGUGUAGACGGCUUACUGGACCACGACUGACGCUGAGGCACGAAAGCGUGGGUAGCAAACAGG
rnacentral:rRNA from 1 species